UGCUUCUGAAGAGAACCGGCUGCAGCAUU
rnacentral:piRNA from 1 species